UACGUAGGGUGCAAGCGUUAAUCGGAAUUACUGGGCGUAAAGCGUGCGCAGGCGGCUUUGCAAGACAGAUGUGAAAUCCCCGGGCUUAACCUGGGAACUGCAUUUGUGACUGCAUGGCUGGAGUGCGGGCAGAGGGGGAUGGAAUUCCGCGUGUAGCAGUGAAAUGCGUAGAUAUGCGGAGGAACACCGAUGGCGAAGGCAGUCCCCUGGGCCUGCACUGGACGCUCAUGCACGAAAGCGUGGG
rnacentral:rRNA from 1 species